AGGUCAGUAUCUUCCAUGUGCCAGGGAGGGAAGAAUUAGGCAGCAGAGCAAGAGGAUAGCUAGAGGUAAAAUGUGGAGUUUUCAAGCUGAGCUUUGCAAAUUUAGCUAAAUACACGAAGGCGGGUUUGCAGAAUAAUUCUGUACAUCAGCCAGAGAAGUGGUUCUCAAUCCUGACUGCACAACAUAAUCACCUAAAGAGCUUUAAAACAAAUUCUAUGCCCAGGCCCUGCCACACCAACUGAACCAGAACUUAUGGGAUCAGAAAUCUGAAACUCUGAAAGUGAUAAGAACUUGCCCAAGAUUACAAAUAAGUCAGUGUAUGGAAUGUCCAGGCUUGGAAUCCAUAGCUGUUGUAUUUGAACUGUUUUCAAUACUUGCCUUUGGAGGCUACCAACUCUUGGAAUGUUCUAUUCCCUAACUUAGUGUCCAGUUUGAUUAUAGAAGCCAGGAUAAAUAGUAACAUUCUUCUACCCUGCACCCCUUCUUUACAAGUGAACAUUUCAAUGCAUUUCCAAAGCAAAGAGAAUAAAUCAAAUUCAGUAACAUCU